UUGGGAGGAAUCGCGAACCUCACGAACCAGCGCAGGCACAUUAAGACCACCAAUACAGCGCUAACAGGGAAGCAUUAAGACGACCGAGAGGGCUGCAGCGAGGACAGCCGCGUGAGAGAGGCGCCAACGACCCAUGUCCCUGCUACUGCAGGCCGAGGGGGCUGCCCGCUCUGGGAAAACCCUUCCCCUCCUCCUCGCCCGCCCCGAGCGCGGCCUCGGUUUAGCCCGGGAGGAAAAGCGAAUGCGAGCCUGGCACCGCCCGCGAGCAACGGAAGGAGGGCCGAAGGUGUGCCGUCCUCCUUAACCCCCCUCCGGCUGGAGAAGCCGCGGACGGGCCGGGUGGUUUUCGUUGCUACGACCACCUCCGGCGGGAUUCGGAGGAGGCCGGCGAGGAGCGCGUGACGCACCUCCUCCCCCUCCCCCCUCUCCCCGAGAACAAAAGAAGAAUUCUUUGCACAGGUUUGUGGGCACCCAAAAACAGUCUUGUGGCAUUUGGAACAAUGUGUGAUAGCAUUGCAGCAUGGCAGAAUCUUUCAUCCAGAGUUUCUGUUUCUAGGUCAUUCAUCUGACUUGGAGAAAUUUCUUUAGCAGAGAAAUGAAGUGACCUGCACAGACAUAAAAA